UGAGCAAUCUGCCCUUCUCUUCGGAAUAAGCGUUGGAAACGACGUCUAAUGCCGAAUACGACCUCCUUUCGCAUGAUCGGAGGUGGAAAGCUCCGGCGGAGAAGGAUGAGCUCGCGGCCUAUCAGCUAGUUGGUGAGGUAACGGCUCACCAAGGCGACGACGGGUAGCUGGUCUGAGAGGAUGGCCAGCCACAGUUGGGACUGAGACACGGCCCAGACCUCGUACCGGGGAGG
rnacentral:rRNA from 1 species